GCCGCCGUCGAUGUAUCUCUUCAGGGACGAGAGACGCUCAGUCAGAAAAGGCUCGGAGGAGCUGGGGCCAUGGGAGAGCAGAGCCCCCCCCCUUUGCGACCGACAAGCCUCGAGGCUGAGGUCCCCCGAGAUAGAUGGUGCCCCAGGGUCGCAGCUCACCUAAGCCACUCACCUCGCCCCGAUAUGUUGGGGGUAUGAAGCCACAGUAGACAGGAACAAAGCAGCUACAAUACAGAGCCUGGGGAGAGACAGAGCAAGAUGCUACAGGCCCUGGGGAGACACAGGGCUGAGAUGCUACAGGUACUAGGGUGGGUGCUAAUGACCCCUGACCCCUACCAAUUCUCCAUUCCUUACAUUUAAAGUAAGGGCACUGGCCUGGGGAACUGUCUGGAACUUGCUUCCCACCCUGAUCCCUUGUUGGGUCCUUGGUAAUCUACUGGACCACUUAGUAGACUAAUCGAGUCUCUUCUUGUAGAACUGUUCCUGGCAGAGACACAGGCAGGAAGGGAAGGGAAGGGAAGGACCAGGCAAAUCAGAAAAGUGACGAAGACAGGAGGCUGGGGACCUCCUCCCCAGACAGGAGCGACGAAGACAGGAGGUCGGACCGUGCUGCCCCUGUUUCCCCAGGAGGUGGCGCCCCAACCAGUGUCUUACCUCAAUGAGCUCCUCCUUGGACCGGUACUCCGAAACCACGACGUUCUCUCCGUCCGUGACCCGGGACGGAGACAGAGGUCCUAGGAAGAACUUCUUCACCUCGGCCAGACCCAUAUUCAGCACUCUGAGUUCUCAGCGAGGAGGUCUCCAACCCAGAAGCCUGGGGCCUCAGGAACAGAACAGAGCAAGACCACAAAUGAGGAAGUCUCAGAUGCCCUAUAGCUUGGAGACGCCGGCAUCCGCAUGGAACUCGGGUGUCCUGCUUCUUGACCAUGUACCGCCACCCAAUAGAAAUUUUCAGUGACUGAAAAGAUAUUUUCUCCCUGCAAAACGGCUCCUCCAGCUUCCCCACACCUGAGGUCUUUUUUUUUUUUUUUUUUUUUUUUUUUGUUCUUUUUUUCGGAGCUGGGGACCGAACCCAGGGCCUUGCGCUCAGUAGCUCUACCACUGAGCUAAAUCCCCAACCCCUACCUGAGGUCUUCUACCAGGCUGUGCUCAUGAGAGACCCAUAUGAGAUUCCCACACAAAUGCAGAUGAGAUUGGAAGCCUUUUACCAAGUGACAAGGGCACCUGCUUAGAGGCCACAUACCUUUGGCAGACUUCACCCACAUUGUGUAGCCAAGGAUGAUCUUGAACUCCCAAUUCUACAGUCUCCUCAGGAGUGACACCAUGCUUGGUUUAUGCUAUGCCAAGGGGAGAACCCAGGACUGCACACGUGCUGGGAAGGAAUCUGCUAAUUUAGCAGUAACUGUGCUCUCAUAACCAGAUUUUUACAUUUUUAAAAAAAUAUUUAUUAUUUAUUUUAUGUAUGUGAGUACACUGUUGCUGUCUUCACCAGAAGAGGGCAUCAGACCCCAUUACAGAUGGUUGUGAGCCACCAUUUGAACUCAGGGAUUUGAACUCAGGACCUCUGGGAGAGCAGUCAGUGCUCUAACCACUGAACCACCCUCCAGCCCCAGAUUUUAACAUUUUUAUUCAUGUAUAUGUGUGACCACAGAAGUUAAACUGGGUUGUAGGAUCCCCGGGAGCUGGAGUUAAAGGCAGCUGGGAGCUGUAUUACAUGGCCAGUAGGAACUGAACUUAAAUCCUCUGUAAGAGCAGCAAAUGCCCUUAACCACUAAGUCACCUCUCCAGUCCCACAAAUACUGUUUUCUCUUGGUGCCGGGGAUUGAACUCUGGGCUUUUGCACACGUUUGCAUAAAUUGCGCACUUGAUCACUGAACUGCGGAGCCAGUCCUUAAACAACAUCUCAUUUGGAAACGUCUGUUUAAAGUCAUGCAUAUGCAUCAGGGACUUGUAUAGCCCUGAGCUCCCUGUCGUGGGAGGCAGCGGAGAGGAGGUUGCAUAAGUAUCUCUGUCAGAAAGCUUAUCAACCAGAUCUGUGGGUGGGUGGGAAGGGCUGAGCCUUACCAGCUUGCAUUCUAGUGCCUGGCAAUGGAUCUCCAUCAGACACACAGAGAAGGUAACCGAUUUGCCCAAACUCAUCAAUGUAGAGACCAAAGGACAGCUUAUCCUAUUGCAUUUUAUAGUUCACAGAUUAUAUGUCACUGGUCUAACCCCAGAGACUGCGAACGCUGGAGUGCCGUUGUGCAGAUAGAGAAACUGAGGCAGCGAAAAGCGCCUUGCCUGAGGUCACACAGUCAGGCAGUGUUGGUUUGCUGGUGUUUCGCUUUCUGACUCCAAGCCAUUCCCUCACCCCCGCCCAGAUCAUAGUUGCAGGACACGGUAGGGACCCCAGACUUUGCUGUGAACGUGGAUUGAUUGUACCCCUUCUUGGGAGUAGGAAACUUGGCAAUGUCAGCCUUCCCGUGUGUAGGCAUGAACAGUCGUGUCUUCCCUCUAGGGAGGGUGGCAACCAGCUGUCAGGUUAGAAAACAACCUGGCAGGCUGGAGAGAUGGCUCAGUGGUUAGAGCACUGGCUGCUCUUCCAGAGGUCCCGAGUUCAAAUCCCAGCAACCACACGGUGGCUUACCACUAUCUGUAAUGGGAUCUGAUGCCCCCUUCUGGUGUGUCUGAAGACAGCGACAAUGUACUCAUGUAAAUAAAUAAAUCUUUAUAAAACAACCUGGCAAGAGGCCACCAAGGUCUCCGGUCUCGGUCUCGGUCUCGGGGAAGACAGAUUUACAAGGGUGGGAAUAGUUUUCCUGUAACGUAGUCUGGCCUCAGACUCACUAUGUAGCCAAGGACGACCUUGGACUCCUGAUCUCCCUUCAGCCAGUUUCCUAGUGCUGGGAUGACAGAUGUGUGCCCUCAGAGGAGCUGUUUAAAAACAUUGUCCAUGUACACAUGCCACGGCACAAGCUACUCGCGCCGCCAUGCCUUUGCUGAUUCCCAGGUCAGAGCGGUGAUGGACGCCCUGGAACUGGAGUUACGGGUGGUUGUGAGCCCUAGUGGACUCUGGGAGUCCAUCUAGGUCAACUGGAGGAGCAGCCAGUACUCAUAACUGCUGAGCAGUCUCUCCAGACUUUUUUUUUUUUUUUUAAGUUCUUAGCAGGCUACCCGAGGUCAUUGACCCGCCCUCAGCCUGCUUCAGCCUGUUCUACCAGGUCUGGAAAGUCACUGGCGGCGCCUGGGGAUGAUUCAGGAAAUGUGUUUCCGUCACAGGAAGCACACCUACUCAUGUGAGAAACCCCAAACAAAUCCAAUACAAACAGGCAUGGAGGCACAAGUCUACUGUGGCCCCAGGACUUGGGAGGUACAUGCAGGAGGAAUCAGGAGUUUGAGGAUAGCCUGGGCUACAUAGAGCCUGCCUUAAAUGCAAAGAAACAAACAAAAAAAAAGUCAAAAUUCCUCUAUCCAGAAAUUAACGUCUGGCCUGCCCUUUUUAAAAGGCUCUAUCUGCAUGUACACCUGCAGACCAGAAGAGGGCGUCGGAUUCCAUUACAGAUGGUUCUGAGCCACCAUGUGGUUGCUGGGAAUUGAACUCGGGACCUCUGGAAGAGCAACCGGUGCUCUUAACUGCUGAGCCAUCUCUGCAGCCCUCCUACUCAGCCAACCUGGUCUACAAAGCAAGUUCCAAUGCAGCUAGGGCUACACAGAGAAACCCUGUCUUGAAACAAGGAGGAGGAAGGGGAGGAGACAAAGAUGGGCAGCCUUCGAAGGCCUGUGAGGUGGCUCAGUGGGUUAAGUCACUCGCUGCCAAGCCUGAGGGCUUGAGUUCCAACCUCCUGACCCGAGAGCUAGGGGAGAACUGAGUCCUACAGGCUGCCCUCUGACCUCCACCGGGGCAUGUACACACACCAACGAGUAUGAUGUAUGAGUGACUCUUCCAGCAAGGCUCUGCCUCCUGAACCUACACAGAGCUCAACCACCUGGGACACGUAUUCAAUCUCUGGAGCCUUUGGGGGACAUUUUCAUUCAAACCACCACAUGCACAUGCAUGCACAG